rnacentral:rRNA from 1 species
CGGCGUGCCUAAUACAUGCAAGUCGAACGGUCUUUCUAUGGAAGCUUGCUUCCACUGAGAAGAUAGUGGCGAACGGGUGAGUAACACGUGGGUAACCUGCCCAUAAGAGGGGGGAUAACAUCCGGAAACGGGUGCUAAUACCGCAUAGUUUUCUUGAUCGCAUGAUCGGGAAAGGAAAGACGGCCUUUGUGCUGUCGCUUAUGGAUGGACCCGCGGCGUAUUAGUUAGUUGGUGAGGUAACGGCUCACCAAGACGAUGAUACGUAGCCGACCUGAGAGGGUGAUCGGCCACAUUGGGACUGAGACACGGCCCAAACUCCUACGGGAGGCAGCAGUAGGGAAUCUUCCGCAAUGGACGAAAGUCUGACGGAGCAACGCCGCGUGAGUGAAGAAAGGUUUUCGGAUCGUAAAACUCUGUUGUCAGAGAAGAACAAGUUGGAGAGUAACUGCUCCAGCCUUGACGGUAUCUGACCAGAAAGCCACGGCUAACUACGUGCCAGCCGCGGC